AUAAUAUUUAAUUCUGAAAAUAAAUUCCACAAAUCAUUCUUAUUUCAAUUUUGUCGCUUCAUUUUCGUCUUCCUCUUCUCUCAAUGCUCCACCGUCUCCCCCACGACCUUCUCUUCAGGUUUCAUUCACCUCAACAUGAUGGAAAAGAAAGAGAAACCAAGUCUUGGAAUUCAGAUUGUAUAUCUAUAGAGAAC